rnacentral:lncRNA from 1 species
CCUAUUAACAUAUUUGAACGGCUAUCAAAAAUCUUUGUGCACGCUCAGGACGUGGCACACCAUCACUGCUGUAACCUAUGAAAGAAUAAUUACUCUUUGUAGUUGUCUAUUGAAUAAACUGAAGUUCCGUGGUUUUAAGUAACUUUACGAAGUUUACAAAAUCAGUAAGAGUGAAAGAUAGAGUCUAAUAUAAAAAUUGUCUUCCCAUCUCUACUUUGAAGAAUUGAUAACUAAGGCAUGGAACCCCUUUCAGUCUUUGCUUCAGUGUCUAAAGUGAGUAGGAGCAGGAUCACCACUUUCAGCUCUCACUUGAUGCUACCUGCAGUCUGACCUCUAGUUGCUGUUUUAGAUGCUUCUUUUCUUUACCAAAAUUUACCUUCUUUCCUUUACCUCCCUACAUCAUCUGUCACGCAUAUCUAUGCUGUAGGGAUCUUUUAGUAUUCCAUGGAGCUCUGGGGUUAAAUUUGGAUUGUACUAUAGUUAAAUUUGAAAAUAAAAAUUGUGUUUUUAAAACUUGGAUAUCACCCUAAAUAUCUAUGAAUACAAAUUUCAUCCUAAUAAAUUAAAUAUUUCUAAGUUUUUCUCAUUCCCAAAUAACAAACUAAUGAAUCCAAUAUUAUUUUAUGGCAGUACUGUUUAGGUAUUUUUCAGGAGAAAAAAUAUUUUUAAAAAUAGACAGAGGGAGAUCCCGCUGUGGUGCAAGAAUCCUAAUGCAGUGGCUCAGAUUGCUGUGGAGGCACGGGUUCAAUCAUCGGCCCAGCGCAGUGGGUUAAAGGAUUUGGUGUUGCAGCAGCUGAAGCUCAGAUUUAAUCUUUGGCCUGGGAACUUCCUUGUGCCAUGGGUGCAGGCAUAAACAAAACAAAACAAAACAGACGUAAUUUUUUCCUAAUGUUACAUUUACCGUGGGUAACUUCAAAAAUUGUGUAUUGUGAAAAUGUUGGCCUGUACACACGAAUGAUGCCAUUUCGUGGCACUUCUAGAUUUCAAAGUGUCACUGUCCAAUUUCCGAUGAAGAAUCUGACAACAGUGAUUUUUGUUCAAUUUCAAGUUAUCCUUAGAUUGUAGUUGCCUUUUCUAUUCUCUGACACAAAACUCCCUCAAGGCAAACAAUCUUUUAUAAGUAUGAAAGUCUCUCUGUUUCUCUUCAAAAACUUCUUUGAAAAUAUUUCCCAAAUUUAUUUCUUUCAAUUGUUACAUUCUAAAUGUAACAGCAUUGAUGUAGAUAUAUAGUAUAGUCUUCCUUUAAGUAUUAUAUAUGUAGAUGAUAAUUCUGGAGUUUAGGUAACUAAAAAGCAAAUUCUGAGUAAUCUGCAUUUUAUAUAUUCUCCAAUGGAAUGUUUGUGUUUGUGUGUUUAUUUUGUAGUCAAGGAAUUGAUGAAAUAGAGAUAAAAGUUAAUAUUUAAAAGUGAUUUUUUUCUUCCACCCAUUAGAAUUUAUAAUAAAAUAAACUAAAUAAACUAAUAAACUUAAUAUACUAGAGUAAGCCUAAUUUGUAGGAAAUGCAUAAUUAAUCAAAAUAACUGAAAGAGGAGGCAAAGGAGAAAAAAAAUACUGUAAAACAUAUAUGCUUAGAAAAACAUAAAUGAAUUAAUUAAAAAUCAGAAUAAAUAUUACUUUGUAGGAAAAAGUCCUAGGUUAAUGCUAUAAUAAAAUUAAAAUUAUACAUACACAGUAUGUAACUUCUUAUACACAUGGAGCUAUCUUACAAAUUAUACUGUCUUUUAAUAAUAUUCUGUCCUUUCUAAAGGGUAGUUUCUCAAUUAAUUAUAUUCUGCUUAACAAAAAGUAAAAUAUAUUCCAUAGAAGAAGACAUGUGUUUAAAAUAUGAAGAAACUUUAAAUCUUUGAAAAGUGGAUUAGUCAUCACUUCAAAAAGUUCAGCAAAAUAAAUUCAAGAUAAAGUGUCAUAGGAAAAGUAUGAAAUAAUACAAUCAUCUGAAGGAACUGACUAGAGUUAGAAGAAUCUUUUCAAACCAGGUAUAACUGCCCCACCCCCAAAAAAUUCAGGAUUUUUUUCUCAUCAUACCAUAUAUUAAAAUACUUAUUAUAAUGUUUUAUUAUGCAUUGAAAAAAAUGACAUAAUGACUGAAGAAAAGUUUUAGUUUUUUCUACUUCAAAGCACAUUUUUUAUAAAUUAAAAUAAUGGAAACUUUGGAAAAAUACCUGCAACAUAUGUGGACAAAACCAUUUUUUUCAUUGCAUAUGUAAUUAUUAUCAUUGCAUAAAAAUAAAGAAUUUCAUUCUACCCUCCAAUUAAUACUGGUUCUUUCAAUUCUUUAUUUCACAUGAAGUUUUUAGAUUGUUAUAUUCUUGAUGUUAUUGAUAUGCAGUUUCUUUCAUAAUAAUAGAAUAGAAUUUUUGCACAUUUCUUUAGACUGUAGGGGUAAAAUUAGACUAUUGUCUGAAAAUAUGUAUCUUCUUUCUUUCCCAUGUCCAUGGGCAGAAAAACACUUAUUUGCCAUUUGGCUUGGUCAUGUGACUUGCUUUGAACACUACAAUGUUAGUGACCAUGACAGCAGUUUGAGACGGCUUGACAAGCUCCCAAGCUUGUUCUUCUGACAUCACCAUGAGAAAUAAAGGGUAUAUUCUGCAGCUUGCUAGUCCUAGGAGGAGGAUAAGAGGACAAAUUCCAACACGACUCUGGCUGCAGAAUGGAAACCACAGAUCUUAAAACUAGGAGUUUUAUGGACCUGCAUUAUUUAUGUAUGUAUGUAUGAAUGUCUUUUUAGGGCCACACCUAUGGCAUAUGGAAGUUCUCAGGCUAGGGAUCGAAUUGGAGCUGCAGCUGCCUGCCUAUGCCACAGCCACAGCAAUGCGGCACCUGAUCUGCAUCUGUGACUUACAUCACCUACAUCGGCUCAGGGCAAUGCCGGAUCCUUAACCCACGGAGUGAGGCCAAGGGCACAACUUGUGUCCUCAUGGAUACCGGUCGGGUUUGUUACUACUGAGCCAUGCAUGGAACUUUUAGACCUGCUAUUUUUAAUUCACAGCAAGAUAGAAAGCCAGUGACAUUAUUUUGAAAGAGUUCACAUGAUUAGUGCUUAAAUUUGACAACGUGAUAGAAGCAAACAGAUUAGUGAGUUUUCAACAAUAUAAAUGAGAAAUUAAAAAGUACUAAUAAAGGGUAUGUUAAUAGAGAAGGAAGAGAUGAGUUAGAUAUGAAAAACGUAGAUAGCAAGCAGUUCUAGGACUUAACAUUUGAUCAUAGGGCAUGAUUUUCAGCCACGUGGUAGACAAAAGGAAUAUAUCAAUAUUUAGGGAUGGACUGACAGUGAAAACGGUGCUUAUUAAAACUGGGGUGUCCAAAUGGUUAGUGCAAUGCCAACCUAAUAAAAAUAUCAUACAUGGAAGAAAAUGUGAUUGUCUUUCGAGCAUUAUCAUGUAAAGACAAUUCAGUGGGUAUCUGAGAUAUUGAAAUAUCUCAAAAUAGUAAUGGCUAACCUGUCCAUAGCAAUGUGUGCCAGGCAUUCUUACAAGUAUAUCUUUCCUUAUUUAAUCUUAACCAUUUGACAGAAAUGUUGCUAUGCUCAUUUUAUUGAUGAGGGGUUUUAUAUCCCUUGCCUAAAUUCACAGGCAGUAAAGUGUUAUAGAAGAAUUAAACAAAGAUUGUCAGACACAGGACCACACAGCUAUGGUAAUCAGUAUAGAGUAUUCACAAUAUUUUGGUUAAAGAUACAACACACUUCCCACACAGUGUCACACUGAGUCUCUCUUAGUCUAAGAGAAACAAAUAAAGCAUACAAAUAUGUAAGAAAAUAUCAAGUAGCUGUAGAUUGUAGAAAGAAAAAAUAGGAUAAGAGUAUAAGAGUGACCAGAGGAGGGGGGAGCCACACCAGUCUUUCUGAGGAUUUGAUAUUGAAAUGAAUAAAGAAAGUGGAGGAGGGAUCCAUGAGGAUACCUAGGAAAAUGAUGUUCCUGCCAGAGGGAACAGCAAGUACGAACACCCUGCACUAGGCUCACCCUUGGUAUGCUCUAGGCAUGGCACAAACACCCGUGUGGCUGGAGCACACUGAGCCUGGAGAAGUGUAGGUGCGAUAGAGAGAGACGGUCACAGCAAGGUCCAGUAGGAAACGGACUCUAUGUUAAGGAAUUCUUAUUUCAUUUUAAGGAUGAUGAGAAAUGAUUUAUAGAAUUACUUACAAGACAGUUACAUGAGAAGACAUAUUAGUUAAAUGUACUCUUACUACCUUUUCGACUAGGUUAAAUAUUCACAUAUGUACAAUUUUACACAUAGGUAAAGUUAAUAUCACUUAGCAUGUAUUUUGGCUCUUUUUCCAAAGUCUAAAUAAUAAGUCCUAGAUGAUUUUCCCCAGUGUGCAGGUAACCUAGAGCAGGACGACGAACUCUUACCUCUCUCCCCAGACAAGGUUCUUUGUGAUGCCUAAGUUUGGAAAGAGCUACUUACAUAUUUUGAAAUGCCCCUUCUUGAGAAUUAACACCACAUACUGGAAUUCCAAAUAUUAUCAAAAAUCCUAAAGUAAAGAAACAUGUUUAACCCCAUAUUUUACAAGUCCAUAAUACAUAUUGCCAUUAUGUAGAACUAAAGAUUUUUCAUAUAUUUCAGGACACAAUCCUAUGUUAUUAUUUUUUAAACUGUGUUCCAAGAAGACCUUGGUGUUUUCUGGAGCCUCUUUGGCUUUGGAAGGGAGAGUGGUGCAGGUACUGGGCUUGGAAAGCUUGCCUCCUCCCAUUCAAACAUUUAAGAUUUCAUUUGAACAAAGAGCCAUCGUAUUUUAAAAACUAAAUUCAAAGAUACAGGAAAGGAGGCUACUAUGUUCUUUUAGCAAGCUGUUUUUCUUCACUUUUAGGGCAUUUACUAAGUUUAUAGCUAAUUAUUUAGCUAAUUUACAGAUCCAGUAAGACUGAAUGCUUUCUCAGAAUUGGCUCAAUGACUGUACUAGAAAAAUGCAGGGCACAACCCAAAUCUUAACUAAACGUUUUUCAUCUCUGUACUGCUGAUUAUUACAAUCAGAUUAAAUAACAAAGUGUAGGAGCCAAAUUAUAUGCUUUGUAAUAGCCUAUCAAUUAUGCACUCGAGGGAUAUCAUUCAUAUCUAUUAAAAUAUGAACUUUAUAAGAAAAUAAGAUAAAAUACAAAUAAUUUAACAUGUAUAUAUGCAUAAGAGCACAAUGAUUUAUUGAAGUUUUUAAUGCUGACAGGGAUCAUCUGGAGAGAAGCAGCACAUUGGUAAGAGGUCUACAUUUGCAAAGUUUUCUACGUUUUCUCUUUUCUUCAUUUUUUUUCCUAUUAAGCAGAUGUUGUUUUAGAGCAAUUUUGGGUUCAUAGCAAAACUGAGCAGGAAUUGUGAGUAGUUCUUACACAUCCCCUGUCCUUCCACAUGCACAAUCUCCCCGAUGUUAACAUUCUGCACCAGAGUCGCGCACUUGCUACAGUCGAUAAACAUGCACUGACAUCGUUAUCCCUCCAAGUCCACAGCUGGCAUUAGGGUUUACUGUUGGGGUUGUACAUUCUAUGGGUUUCAACAAAUGCAUAAUGACAUGUAUCUACCAUCACAGUAUCAUACAAAAUAGUUUCAUCUCUCUAAAAAAUCCUGUGUUUUGCCUAUUUAUUCCUCUCUUUUCCAACCUCAAGUAAGCACUGAUCUUUUAUCUGUCCUCAUAGUUUUGCCUUUUCCAGAAUAUCAUAUAUUUGGAAUUAUAGGGUAUGUAUCCUUUUCAGAUUGGCUUCUUUCACUCAGUAGCACGUGUAUAAUUUUCCUCCAUGUCUUUGCAU